UCUGCUUCCCGGAGAGGCGCGGGCGCAGGGCAGGCAGGGAGCCUGCCCCGCCCCCGGUGCGCGUUGGGCCUAGAACCUAGCUGUAUAAAUCCAGAAAUUGAGGCUGGUAAAUUCAGCUGGUCCUACAGGCAUCUCUCCAGACUACGUUUUACAGAGAAGAUCAUAGGUGGAAACAAGCACAAGUCAGCAUCAUGUGACCUACCAGUUCUCCAUGGUCUACCCAGCAAAAGCUCCACAUCCCCAAGUGAAAGGAUGUUCCUAUGAGAGGAGGUAUAGUCCUAUGGUAAGGCACUACACUGGAAAUCAGGAGACCGAGGUUGAGCGCCCAGUUUUCCAGAGACUCUCUGUGUGACCUUAAGCAAGUCCCCUAAUCUCCCUAUGCCUCUGCUCCACAUCUGUAACUUGAGGAUAACAGUAUUUCUGUACCACAGUUAUUAAUGACUGACAGUGAUGGAGGGCCAUAUUAUUAGAUAGAUAUCUAAUCUGAGAACCCCUGAACUAUGCAAUGCACUGUCUUCUUGCCACACUACUCCACAAUCUGUAAUAUCUCAUUUUUGCAUGUUUUCCUCACAAUAAAACAUGCUCAUU